AUACGGAGGGUGCAAGCGUUACUCGGAAUCACUGGGCGUAAAGGACGCGUAGGCGGGUUGGCAAGUCAGAUGUGAAAUCCUACAGCUUAACUGUAGAACUGCAUUUGAAACUGCGAACCUAGAGUAUGGGAGGGGGAGAUGGAAUUAGUUGUGUAGGGGUAAAAUCCGUAGAUAUCACUAGGAAUACCGAAAGCGAAGGCGAUCUCCUGGAACAUAACUGACGCUCAGGCGUGAAAGCGUGGGGAGCAAACAGGAUUAGAAACCCUAGUAGUCC
rnacentral:rRNA from 1 species